CCUACGGGUGGCUGCAGUGGGGAAUUUUUCGCAAUGGGCGCAAGCCUGACGAAGCAACGCCGCGUGGAGGAUGAAGGUCUUCGGAUUGUAAACUCCUGUCGACCGGGACGAAUGCACUCGACCUAAUACGUCGGAAUGUUGACGGUACCGGUGGAGGAAGCCACGGCUAACUCUGUGCCAGCAGCCGCGGUAAUACAGCGGUGGCAAGCGUUGUUCGGAAUUACUGGAGGCGAAGGGGUAGUAGGCGGGUGAAAGCCCUCGGCUUAACUGGGGAUCUGCACGGGAUACUGCGAGGCUUGAGUUCGGGAGAGGAAAGCGGAAUUCCGGGUGUAGCGGUGAAAUGCGUAGAUAUCCGGAGGAACACCAGUGGCGAAGGCGGCUUUCUGGACCGACACUGACGCUGAGGCGCGAAAGCUAGGGGAGCAAACGGGAUUAGAUACCCUAGUAGUC
rnacentral:rRNA from 1 species